CGUUUUCGUCGUGUAUCCGCGAGGAAGAAAAGCUCGGCCAGAUUUUCGCUUCAAAACCGUAUCAAAGUAUUCCCAAUUGGGUCCAAAAUAUUACUGUUCGCUGCCGGAGUGUCCACUGUUUCGUUGGCACUAGUUGCUGUCGCUUGGAACCCGGCGGAUUUAGGAAUAAGUUGCGUUUUCCAUCGGCACGGGUAGGUCAUUGAAAACUUGAAGCAAGAAGAACAAGAAGAUUUGCCUGCGUUUUGAGGUUUCUGUAGUAGUGUGCGUAUAAGAGCGUCUUUGGCCUACUGGAAGGCUCGGCAUCAACAGGAAAAUUUCUGUUGCACCGGAAGAUCAGGAAACAUUGAAGUAACGGGGUUUCAGCAAACAGAACUGAAGGAUCCACUAACAAAUGAUAACAUCGCAGCGUUUUCUAAAAUUUGCUUGGUGAGAAUUAUAUUCUUUUGUUAACUUUGGUUGGCAUUGACGAAAAUAACAAAAAGGUUAACUUCCAACUGGAGAGAUAAAAAUCCCUGACUAGAGAAAUCCGUUUGCAGCUGGUGGCGAAAAUCUUGCCGACGUUGAAAUCUUUCCAGUAAUCAUGUCAUACCCGACAAGGCCUCCGCCGAGCAUCAUCCCGUACGGGAUGGCUACACAAAUGGUUCCGACGAUUAUCCCUGCCGGAAUGCCACCUUCAUUAAGUGCUCCUCCGCCUUCGUCUUACCGGGGGCCGCCACCAUCAAUUGGAUCCCGUCCACACAUGUACAACAACCACCACCAGCAUCAGGACGGCAAAAUACAUCAUCAAAACAGAGAUCGGGACCGCGGUGGGGGUGUCCAAGUACCGAAUGCGGCCCCUACCAUGGACGGGCCAGUGAUAACGGUUUUCAUCGGAAACAUAAGUGAUCGAGCACCGGAUCCGAUGAUAAAAAAGAUACUAGCUUCCUGUGGAACAGUCAUCAACUGGAAACGAGUUUCUACGUUCGGGUUCUGCGAAUAUGACGGUGCCGUUGCUGGAGCACGAGCUGUUCGCCUGCUCCAUGAUCUAGAAAUUGGCAAUAAAAAAUUAGUUGCCAAAGUGGACGCUAAAAACAAAGCGCUUCUUGACAACCAUAAGGAAGAGGAAACGAAUGCGGGCAACGGGAAUGACGGAAACGAACAGCGUGGAGAUGACGUUUCUAUGGAUCUGAUAAUGCGCAUCCUGGACGAGUUCCGAGAUGAUCUAGUGAUGCCUGAUCAGCACCAGGAUGAUGGCGGUGUUGUAGGAGGGAACACGGGAAGUGGAUCACUCAAACAUAAAAAGAACAUCCAAUCCACGGAAAUGGAAGAAGGCAAGCGUGAGCUGAUCAGCAAGGAAAUUGGUAAGUUCCGGAAGUACACCGAAGAGGAAGAAUUAAAGAAGGAAAAAGAAAAGGAACGAAAAAAGGCUCGUGAAGAGCGGAAAGCAGAUGAAGAAAAAAGAAGAUCUACGUCACCCAGGAAGGAGAAGGAAAAGGAAAAGAAAUCAAGACGAAGAAGUCGAUCUAGGUCUCGUGAUCGCGAAAGGGAACGUGAACGUGAACGAGAGCGUGAGCGGGAGAGGGAAAGAGAACGAGAAAGGGAACGUGAACGUUUAGAACGUGAAAACAGGGAGCGGGAAGCACGAUUGGAACGCGAACGGGAACGGGAAAGAGAACGUGAGAGAGAAAGAGAAAGGGAGCGCGAAUUAUUGAAUCGGAAUCCACGGGACAUCCUUAAAGAGAAGGAAAUAGAAGACGAGGCCCGCGAUCGCCGGAAGACUGAAAAAAAGGCCAAGGAGAAGGAGGCUGCUUAUCAGGAGCGAUUGAGGAACUGGGAAGCUCGUGAAAGACGGAAGGCCAAGGAUUAUGAAAAAGAGCGGGAAAAGGAGCGUUGUAAGGAGGAAGAGCGUGAGAAAGAAGCCAAACGGUUGAAAGAAUUUUUGGAAGAUUAUGACGAUGAACGGGAUGAUCCGAAAUAUUACAAGGGCCGAGAAUUACAACGCCGUCUGGCAGAAAGAGUUCGUGAGGCAGACCAGGAUUCCAAAGAUCGCAAUAAGGAACAAGAAGAGUUGGAUGAGCUAAAAAAUAAAAUAUUUUCUGGUGAUUACGACAACCCUACUUUGGAAUAUGAAAAGGAAAAGAAAAAACGCGAAGAAAUGUAUCGGCCCAAGAUUCUCAUCGAUGUCAAUCUGGAACAAUCCCAACAACGAGAAAGAGAGCUGGAAAGAGAACGACAGCGUGAGCUUGAACGCCAACGUGAUCGAGAUCGAUUGCGAGCCAACAAAGAGCGAUACGUCAUGGCCCAAGCAUCGCGGGAGCUGGCCGCCAUCGAUGCCGAACCUAUUGAGUCCGAUUCGAGCGGACAUAAUGAUAACGAUUUCGGAUCUCCCCCGCCAGGUCUCACUAAUGUCAACAACAAUCACCACCACCAUGGUCAAUUUCCGCCACAGCAUGCAGGUUCGGAAACACGCGAUUCCUUCGGUUUUUCUUCUGGUCAUAUGCCAAUGAGUGGAGCGGGGCUUGGUGAAGAAGACAAUUCGCACCAAUCCAUGCAUUCGAAUUCAAUGGCCAUACAUAGUCCUGGUGCGAAUAGUAACAGUGAAAUGAAUUCUAUACCGGAAAAACUUCAACCCAUAGCGCCCACCAUCAGUUUGAGUUUGAAUGCAAAUGCUAAAAAGAAAAAACUGGAGAUGAAGGACGUUUUCAACAGUUUAGAGGAAGAUGGCGAAGAAUCCAAUGGGCCUAAGAAACGAAAACUAGUUCCAUUAGAUGACGAGAACAAAAUUCAAAAUGCAUCUUCGUCUGCUGGACAUGGUAACCAUCACUCAAAGAGUUCUAAAAGUCGUGGCGGCGGCGAAGAAGGCAGUGGACGAUCUGGACGUGAGGCCGUUAAGUCGCAGGAGGAAAAACGGCGACAUAUCAAGAGUAUUAUCGACAAAAUUCCCACUGAAAAAGCCGAUCUGUUCAACUAUCCGCUUGAUUGGGCCGAAAUCGAUAGCACUAUCGAGAAGAAAAUUAGGCCUUGGAUCAAUAAGAAAAUUAUUGAAUAUAUCGGUGAACCGGAACCGACGCUGGUGGACUUCAUAUGCUCUAAAGUGCUGGCUGGCAGCACGCCUCAGGGAAUUUUGGACGAUGUUCAAAUGGUGUUGGACGAAGAAGCGGAAGUAUUCGUAGUGAAAAUGUGGCGUUUACUCAUCUACGAAGUCGAAGCCAAAAAAGUUGGCUUGACAAAGUAGAUGUCGAACCAUUGCUUCCCUCUCCCAAAAAACGGUCGCCCACGACUUCCGUUUCAGCAGCCGUGAUACAGCGCAAUCGCAAUCCUGGUACAGGCAUUGAUGAACUCUGAACGCGCAGAAGCGAUUUAUCUGCAUAGACACUUCUGGAUGAAAUGAACGUGUUGCGUCAGGAUCACAACCAGUCGCAUUCAUCUAUCAAUCCGAUCGCUGACAAGAGACAAUGAAUGAUUUAUGUUACUUUACUCUUCCGGUGCAUCUCGACUGCCCCUGCUACCUGACACAACAAAAAACUCGGCAGCAGAUAUUUCCAAGGUUCCGAUCCGGUCGUGUCUUCGUCACUGAAACUACGAGGUGCUUCCAUUUAUUCGGACUAAGAAGGUUGUCUUGCUGAUUUUUUAACGAUCGGAAUUUCGUUGACCUUCGUCCAAACCAACCGUCGACCGUUUCCUGUUUGAUGUUGCGUUGGAGUUCCAGAGAAGUUACUUCGGUUAUGGAUCAUUCAAACGAGUCGACCAAGAAAGAAAUUUAAAAAGUCCAAGGGAACAAGGUGUAGGAGCAUCCUGUAGAGUGAGUAUAAUGUCUAGUUUAAUUCAAUGCAAAUGAUAUUUCAGCUGUGUUUAUGUGCAAAAGUAAGGAUUAUGUGAAACUAAGUGCUUUCAGUAUUAUUCGAAUGUUAAAUUUUUUAAAUGAUUACGAAAAUGCCCAAGUCAAGCGGAAAAAACCUGGUAUCGGUAAGUAGUUUUACCUAUUUGUUACAUUCCAUUAUAUCAAUAGAGACAGUUUGGCUUAGGGUGUAAAUAACAGACAAUGUUUGAA